AGUUGAACGUGGAACGCGUUGGCCCAAUUGGUUGACGGUGCUUGCACCUGAUUGAUUUUGGUCGCCAACGAGUGGCGGACGGGUGAGUAACACGUAGGUAACCUGCCCAGAAGCGGGGGACAACAUUUGGAAACGAGAUGCUAAUACCGCAAAACAACGUUGUUCGCAUAAACAACGCUUAAAAGAGGGCUUCUCGCUAUCAAUUCUGGGAAGGACCUGCGGGGCAUUAGCUUGUUGGGGGGGUAACGGCCUACCAAGGCGAUGGAUGCAUAGCCGAGUUGAGAGACUGAUCGGCCACAAUGGGACUGAGACACGGCCCAUACUCCUACGGGAGGCAGCAGUAGGGAAUCUUCCACAAUGGGCGCAAGCCUGAUGGAGCAACACCGCGUGAGUGAAGAAGGGUUUCGGCUCGUAAAGCUCUGUUGUUAAAGAAGAACACGUAUGAGAGUAACUGUUCAUACGUUGACGGUAUUUAACCAGAAAGUCACGGCUAAAUACGUGCCAGCAGCCGCGGUAAUACGUAGGUGGCAAGCGUUAUCCGGAUUUAUUGGGCGUAAAGAGAGUGCAGGCGGUUUUCUAAGUCUGAUGUGAAAGCCUUCGGCUUAACCGGAGAAGUGCAUCGGAAACUGGAUAACUUGAGUGCAGAAGAGGGUAGUGGAACUCCAUGUGUAGCGGUGGAAUGCGUAGAUAUAUGGAAGAACACCAGUGGCGAAGGCGGCUACCUGGUCUGCAACUGACGCUGAGACUCGAAAGCAUGGGUAGCGAACAGGAUUAGAUACCCUGGUAGUCCAUGCCGUAAACAAUGAGUGCUAGGUGUUGGAGGGUUUCCGCCCUUCAGUGCCGGAGCUAACCCAUUAAGCACUCCGCCUGGGGAGUACAACCGCAAGGGUUGAAACUCAAAGGAAUUGACGGGGGCCCGCACAAGCGGUGGAGCAUGUGGUUUAAUUCGAAGCUACGCGAAGAACCUUACCAGGUCUUGACAUCUUGCGCCAACCCUAGAGAUAGGGCGUUUCCUUCGGGAACGCAAUGACAGGUGGUGCAUGGUCGUCGUCAGCUCGUGUCGUGAGAUGUUGGGUUAAGUCCCGCAACGAGCGCAACCCUUGUUACUAGUUGCCAGCAUUAAGUUGGGCACUCUAGUGAGACUGCCGGUGACAAACCGGAGGAAGGUGGGGACGACGUCAGAUCAUCAUGCCCCUUAUGACCUGGGCUACACACGUGCUACAAUGGACGGUACAACGAGUCGCGAACUCGCGAGGGCAAGCAAAUCUCUUAAAACCGUUCUCAGUUCGGACUGCAGGCUGCAACUCGCCUGCACGAAGUCGGAAUCGCUAGUAAUCGCGGAUCAGCAUGCCGCGGUGAAUACGUUCCCGGUCCUUGUACACACCGCCCGUCACACCAUGAGAGUUUGUACCAUCCAAUGUGAUCUGGGGUCACGGAAGUGGUACCAGCG
rnacentral:rRNA from 2 species